rnacentral:rRNA from 1 species
UACGUAGGUGACUAGCGUUGUCCGGAUUUACUGGGCGUAAAGAGCGCGCAGGCGGUCGUUCAAGUCGAGUGUGAAAGCCCCCGGCUCAACUGGGGAGGGUCAUUCGAUACUGAUCGACUCGAAGGCAGGAGAGGGAAGCGGAAUUCCUGGUGUAGCGGUGAAAUGCGCAGAUAUCAGGAGGAACACCGGUGGCGAAGGCGGUUCUCUGGGCCUUACCUGACGCUGGAGGAGCGAAAGCGUGGGGAGCAAACAGG